rnacentral:rRNA from 1 species
UUUAUGGAGAGUUUGAUCCUGGCUCAGGAUGAACGCUGGCGGCGUGCCUAAUACAUGCAAGUCGAGCGAACAGAUAAGGAGCUUGCUCCUUUGACGUUAGCGGGGUGAGUAACACGUGGGUAACCUACCUAUAAGACUGGAAUAACUCCGGGAAACCGGGGCUAAUGCCGGAUAACAUGUUGAACCGCAUGGUUCUACAGUGAAAGACGGUCUUACUGUCACUUAUAGAUGGACCCGCGCCGUAUUAGCUAGUUGGUGGGGUAACGGCCUACCAAGGCGACGAUACGUAGCCGACCUGAGAGGGUGAUCGGCCACACUGGAACUGAGACACGGUCCAGACUCCUACGGGAGGCAGCAGGAAUCUUCCGCAAUGGGCGAAAGCCUGACGGAGCAACGCCGCGUGAGUGAUGAAGGUCUUCGGAUCGUAAAGCUCUGUUGUUAGGGAAGAACAAAUGUGUAAGUAACUGUGCACAUCUUGACGGUACCUAACCAGAAAGCCACGGCUAACUACGUGCCAGCGCGGUAAUACGUAGGUGGCAAGCGUUAUCCGGAAUUAUUGGGCGUAAAGCGCGCGUAGGCGGUUUUUUAAGUCUGAUGUGAAAGCCCACGGCUCAACCGUGGAGGGUCAUUGGAAACUGGAAAACUUGAGUGCAGAAGAGGAAAGUGGAAUUCCAUGUGUAGCGGUGAAAUGCGCAGAGAUAUGGAGGAACACCAGUGGCGAAGGCGGCUUUCUGGUCUGCAACUGACGCUGAUGUGCGAAAGCGUGGGGAUCAAACAGGAUUAGAUACCCUGGUAGUCCACGCCGUAAACGAUGAGUGCUAAGUGUUAGGGGGUUUCCGCCCCUUAGUGCUGCAGCUAACGCAUUAAGCACUCCGCCUGGGAGUACGGUCGCAAGACUGAAACUCAAAGGAAUUGACGGGGACCCGCACAAGCGGUGGAGCAUGUGGUUUAAUUCGAAGCAACGCGAAGAACCUUACCAAAUCUUGACAUCCUUUGACCGCUCUAGAGAUAGAGUUUUCCUCUUCGGAGGACAAAGUGACAGGUGGUGCAUGGUUGUCGUCAGCUCGUGUCGUGAGAUGUUGGGUUAAGUCCCGCAACGAGCGCAACCCUUGAACUUAGUUGCCAUCAUUCAGUUGGGCACUCUAAGUUGACUGCCGGUGACAAACCGGAGGAAGGUGGGGAUGACGUCAAAUCAUCAUGCCCCUUAUGAUUUGGGCUACACACGUGCUACAAUGGACAAUACAAAGGGCAGCGAAACCGCGAGGUCAAGCAAAUCCCAUAAAGUUGUUCUCAGUUCGGAUUGUAGUCUGCAACUCGACUACAUGAAGCUGGAAUCGCUAGUAAUCGUAGAUCAGCAUGCUACGGUGAAUACGUUCCCGGGUCUUGUACACACCGCCCGUCACACCACGAGAGUUUGUAACACCCGAAGCCGGUGGAGUAACCAUUUUGGAGCUAGCCGUCGAAGGUGGGACAAAUGAUUGGGGUGAAGUCGUAACAAGGUAGCCGUAUCGGAAGGUGCGGCUGGAUCACCUCCUUUCU